GACGAACGCUGGCGGCGUGCCUAAUACAUGCAAGUAGAACGCUGAAGAGAGGAGCUUGCUCUUCUUGGAUGAGUUGCGAACGGGUGAGUAACGCGUAGGUAACCUGCCUUGUAGCGGGGGAUAACUAUUGGAAACGAUAGCUAAUACCGCAUAACAAUGGAUGACACAUGUCAUUUAUUUGAAAGGGGCAAUUGCUCCACUACAAGAUGGACCUGCGUUGUAUUAGCUAGUAGGUGAGGUAAUGGCUCACCUAGGCGACGAUACAUAGCCGACCUGAGAGGGUGAUCGGCCACACUGGGACUGAGACACGGCCCAGACUCCUACGGGAGGCAGCAGUAGGGAAUCUUCGGCAAUGGGGGCAACCCUGACCGAGCAACGCCGCGUGAGUGAAGAAGAGUUUCGGAUCGUAAAGCUCUGUUGUAAGUCAAGAACGGGUGUGAGAGUGGAAAGUUCACACUGUGACGGUAGCUGACCAGAAAGGGACGGCUAACUACGUG
rnacentral:rRNA from 1 species